rnacentral:rRNA from 1 species
UACAGAGGCCUCGAGCGUUAGGCGGAAUCACUGGGCUUAAAGCGUGUGUAGGCGGACUUCUAAGUGCCUUGUGAAAUCCCACGGCUCACCCGUGGAACUGCUGGGCAUACUGGUCGUCUUGAGCCACCUAGGGGCUGACCGGAACAAAUGGUGGAGCGGUGAAAUGCGUAGAUAUCAGGAGGAACACCGGUGGCGAAGGCGGCUCUCUGGACCGUAACUGACGCUGAGGCGCGAAAGCGUGGGAGCAAACAGG